GGCCUGGUGGCGCAGUCGGCUAGCGCGUCGUGCUAAUAACGCGAAGGUCAUGAGUUCGAUCCUCAUUCGGGCCA
rnacentral:tRNA from 1 species